AACGAACGCUGGCGGCAGGCCUAACACAUGCAAGUCGAACGCCGUAGCAAUACGGAGCGGCAGACGGGUGAGUAACACGUGGGAACGUACCCUUCGGUUCGGGAUAACUCAGGGAAACUUGAGCUAAUACCGGAUACGUCCGAGAGGAGAAAGAUUUAUCGCCGAGGGAUCGGCCCGCGUCUGAUUAGCUUGUUGGUGAGGUAACGGCUCACCAAGGCGACGAUCAGUAGCUGGUCGAGAGGAUGAUCAGCCACAUUGGGACUGAGACACGGCCCAAACUCCUACGGGAGGCAGCAGUGGGGAAUAUUGGACAAUGGGCGCAAGCCUGAUCCAGCCAUGCCGCGUGAGUGAUGAAGGCCCUAGGGUUGUAAAGCUCUUUUACCCGGGAAGAUAAUGACUGUACCGGGAGAAUAAGCCCCGGCUAACUUCGUGCCAGCCGCCGCAGUAAU
rnacentral:rRNA from 1 species